GUAGUCUCGCACAGAUGCAUAUCAAUAAGCGGAGGAAAAGAAACUAACAAGGAUUCCCUUAGUAACGGCGAGUGAAGCGGGAAGAGCUCAAAUUUGAAAUCUUUAAGGUUUUACCUUGACGAAUUGUAGUUUAAAGAAGUGUUUUCUGUUGAAGUUUUGGUAAAAGUUCUUUGGAAUAGGACAUCAUAGAGGGUGAGAAUCCCGUAUUUGACCAUUAUUUUCAGCUGUGUGAUACACUUUCAAAGAGUCGGAUUGUUUGGGAAUGCAGUCCAAAAUGGGUGGUAAAUUUCAUCUAAAGCUAAAUAUUGGCGAGAGACCGAUAGCGAACAAGUACCGUGAGGGAAAGAUGAAAAGAACUUUGAAAAGAGAGUUAAACAGUACGUGAAAUUGUCAAAAGGGAAGCGUUUGACACCAGUGUUGUUUUCUCGAAAAUCAAUUAAAAAGAGUUAGAUUUUGUUGUGUAUUGACCUUAACAGCUUGCAUUUCAAUUUUCUUGCUUUUUUUAAUGCACUUUUCGUUUAACAAGUCAACAUCAGUUUCUUUUGUUGUAAAAAGGUCAUUGGAAGGUGGCUUUCUUUUCGGAGAAAGUGUUUAUAGCCUUUGACUCCUGCAAUCGGAGAGACUGAGGUCUGCAGCGUAGAUCCUUCGGGGUUAGAUACAUUUGUGCUAAGUUAUAGCUUUUUAUAGACAACUUGUUGACUAUGAUUAGUCUUGUAGCUUACUCGCUUAUGCUAUUUUACCUACGCUUAGGAUGUUGAGCGCAUGUCUCUCUCU
rnacentral:rRNA from 1 species